rnacentral:rRNA from 1 species
AGCGGCAGGCCUAACACAUGCAAGUCGAGGGGUAACAGGAAGUGCUUGCACUUCGCUGACGACCGGCGCACGGGUGAGUACCGCGUAUACAAUCUGCCUCAUACUAGGGGAUAGCCCGAAGAAAUUUGGAUUAAUACCCUAUAGUAUCUUUUUAAGGCAUCUUAAAAAGAUUAAAGGUUACGGUAUGAGAUGAGUAUGCGUUCUAUUAGCUAGUAGGUGUGGUAACGGCACACCUAGGCUACGAUAGAUAGGGGCCCUGAGAGGGGGAUCCCCCACACUGGUACUGAGACACGGACCAGACUCCUACGGGAGGCAGCAGUGAGGAAUAUUGGACAAUGGGCGAAAGCCUGAUCCAGCCAUGCCGCGUGCAGGAUGACUGCCCUAUGGGUUGUAAACUGCUUUUAUAUAGGAAGAAAAACUUUCUCGUGAGAAAGCUUGACGGUACUAUAAGAAUAAGGAUCGGCUAACUCCGUGCCAGCAGCCGCGGUAAUACGGAGGAUCCAAGCGUUAUCCGGAAUCAUUGGGUUUAAAGGGUCCGUAGGUGGACAAAUAAGUCAGAGGUGAAAUCCUGCAGCUCAACUGUAGAACUGCCUUUGAUACUGUUUGUCUUGAGUUAUUAUGAAGUGGUUAGAAUGUGUAGUGUAGCGGUGAAAUGCAUAGAUAUUACACAGAAUACCGAUUGCGAAGGCAGAUCACUAAUAAUUAACUGACACUGAGGGACGAAAGCGUGGGUAGCGAACAGGAUUAGAUACCCUGGUAGUCCACGCCGUAAACGAUGGUCACUAGCUGUUUGGACUUCGGUCUGAGUGGCUAAGCGAAAGUGAUAAGUGACCCACCUGGGGAGUACGUC